CUACACUCCACUGUACUACAUCAAGAACGGAGAGACGGACUACUGCAUUAGAGUUGAGGUUGGUGUGAAUGAGAUGAUUGAUGUCUCUGGGAAGUAUGUUGCUGGUAAUGCUAUGAGAGUUAAAGCCAAGGCCGUCACCAAAGAUAUUCCAAUGACAAUUUAACUUUAUUAUUAUUUAGAUCCAUACCAAGUACUAAUAGCUCCUUCAUUUUAUUUUUGUGCUUUUUUAACUAUUAUUAUUAUUAUGGACAAUUGUAGUUAAAACUAUCAUUAAUUCUAUUAUGAGAAUAAUAAACUGCUGCCAUAAAUGAAAUAGAUAGUUACUCACUCCUGCUCUGUGUUGUGAUAGCUACAUCUCCCACCAUUAAAGCUGUACUAUCACCACUGGACUACAAGCUGUUCCAUUCACUAGUAACAAGUUAUUCAAUAAGCUGUGACAUUCUCUGACCCUCAAGUGAAAAGAGAGUUUGCUUCAUUAACAAUAACAUUAAUAAUAAUCAGUUAGUACUGAUAUAACAAUCAUUAGUACCAGGUCAAGUCAAAAGUUGAGCAGGCCACUAAAGACAAGUACAGUACUUUCAACUGCUCACAAAUACAAGGAAACAUCUACCUAAUCAUGGUUGAUGUAGGUAAGGGUCGUUAUGUUGAUGUGAAGAUUGAUUACCGGUUUGGGAAAAAUACUUUAAAAACAGCAACAGCUGCUGCCAGUGGAAUGGAUGCUCCACUCAAGUUGUAGACAUUAAAAAAAGAAUAAACAGAAUUAAUUAUUACUAGUAAUUGAUCAGUUUUUGGCAAAAUAA
rnacentral:lncRNA from 1 species